UUCUCACUCCCAACUCGUCACAUACUGACGCUUGGUCAGGAACCCUCGGCGUCAGUUAUUGACGCACAGGGUACCCCUUUAGCGUCAUAUUUAGACGUGCAGGGAUUCCCUAUAGAAUCUGUGCCUGAGCCUGAGGCGUCAUAUGGAGACGCUGGAGGCUCGUAUAAUUACCAAUAGAUGUCAACGCAAUUUUUAAAACCUGAUUUACGCCUAUUAUCUUAGUUUUCUUAUUUUAAAAAUAUGUAAUUUUUAUUUUGUUCAUGAAAAGCGUCUGUAAACGGGGUCGAAACUACUGUAUGAAUAAACUUCGGCCCACGUGACAUCCCUUCACGUCUAUGCUCGCUAUCCCAAGGUUCAUUGCGAUCCCAAGGUUCACUGCGGUUUUCCACAAGCCUGUUUCUGCCUAUCACCAUGAGUGAUUCCUCAAUACUCAGAUUUAUCAUCAAGAUCUCAAUUAUAAGCUCAAGUUUUGAUGACAACUUGGUGAUCUGCAGAAAGCACCACCAUGUAAGGAAGGCCAAGACCACUCUGGAAUCAGUCAAGGGUUAGUGAAGUUUUUCAUUCCAUGUAUAUUAAAUAUCUACAUUGUUUAGGCAUAUAUGAUUGUAUGAGAUAAAAUGCAUUUAUUCUUUCACUACUAUUGUAAUAACAGAAAGAAACGCAUUAGUUUUACUAUUACUAUUGUUUAUGACAAACAUUAAAAAACUACAGCAUAAGCUUACAAAAUAUUGUGGCCUAACUGUUUAAAACUAAUUGUUCUGGGUGUUG
rnacentral:lncRNA from 1 species